UGGCACAGUGGUUAAGUGCUCAGCUGCUAACUGAAAGGUUGAUGGUUUGAAUCCAUC
rnacentral:tRNA from 1 species